ACGGAAGGCAGCAGUGGGGAAUAUUGGGCAAUGGGCGAAAGCCUGACCCAGCGACGCCGCGUGAAGGAAGAAGGCCUUCGGGUUGUAAACUUCAGUCAACAGGGAAGAAACAAAUGACGGUACCUGUGGAGGAAGCCACGGCUAACUACGUGCCAGCAGCCGCGGUAAUACGUAGGUGGCAAGCGUUAUCCGGAUUUACUGGGUGUAAAGGGUGUGUAGGCGGGAUCGCAAGUCAGAUGUGAAAAUUAUGGGCUUAACUCAUAACCUGCAUUUGAAACUGCGAUUCUUGAGUAUCGGAGAGGUAAACGGAAUUCCCAGUGUAGCGGUGAAAUGCGUAGAUAUUGGGAGGAACACCAGUGGCGAAGGCGGUUUACUGGACGACAACUGACGCUGAGACACGAAAGCGUGGGGAGCAAACAGGAUUAGAUACCCUGGUA
rnacentral:rRNA from 1 species